AGGUUGGUGAACGUUUUGGUCCAGCCUCAAAGUUUGCACCUGGCUUAUUGUUCAGACACUCUGGACAUAGGGAUAAGGUGGUUGAUUUCCACUGGAACUCGCAUGAUCCAUGGACAAUUGUCAGUGUGUCGGAUGAUGGUGAAAGCACAGGUGGCGGUGGAACUCUACAGAUAUGGAGGAUGAUUGAUUUGAUUCAUAGACCACAGGAA